rnacentral:rRNA from 1 species
UACAGAGGGGGCAAGCGUUAUUCGGAAUUAUUGGGCGUAAAGGGCGCGUAGGCGGCGAUUCAAGUGGCGGGUGAAAUCCCUCGGCUUAACCGAGGAACUGCCUGUCAGACUGGGUUGCUUGAGACCGGGAGAGGCGAGUGGAAUUCCCAGUGUAGCGGUGAAAUGCGUAGAUAUUGGGAGGAACACCAGUGGCGAAGGCGGCCCGCUGGACCGGAACUGACGCUGAGGCGCGAAAGCGUGGGGAUCAAACAGG